UACGUAGGGUGCAAGCGUUGUCCGGAAUUAUUGGGCGUAAAGAGCUCGUAGGCGGUUAGUCGCGUCUGCUGUGAAAACUCGGGGCUUAACUCCGGGCCUGCAGUGGGUACGGGCUGACUAGAGUGCGGUAGGGGAGACUGGAAUUCCCGGUGUAGCGGUGAAAUGCGCAGAUAUCGGGAGGAACACCCGUAGCGAAGGCGGCACUCUGGGCCGGAACUGACGCUGAGGAGCGAAAGCGUGGGGAGCAAACAGG
rnacentral:rRNA from 1 species